UCACGUCCUUGGUGUUCCUUUCUGCCUGUUCUCUGUACGGAAGCUUUAUGGCUAUAUAUCAUCUUCCCCUCAAAGCCUUAGGUUUUUUCUUCAUAUCAACCACUGAUUUCCGCCAUUAGAAUCGCUACAUGAAAAAUUAAAGCAGAUGCAGCCAAUUAGUUCCUUUGAGCAGGGGGUUUUCGUAUGUCAGACAUAUGGUAAUGAAGGCUUCGCCAAUGCUUUUGUUUACUGUGUUAAGUGUAUGAACUUUGUUAUUCACAGAUAGUGCUUAAAUGUGAUACCGAAGACGUUCAACGAGCUUGUCAUUUGGUACUGUGAACGUUGCAAACGAAUGGUUACUUCACCUGAAGUUAAAUCUUCACAUUCCAAGAAAAGAAAGCUACAAAUUCGGGAAAGAUAAAACCAACCCUUAAUUCAGAAGAAGGAAAAAAAGGAAAGGUAUAUUUGCAUAUUUUAUAGUUAAAGGAGAUUUGUAUAUUAUGAUAUACCAAAGAAAAAUCAUGAAAACCGGAAAAAAAAAAUUAAUUAAUUCUAGUAUGGGGGUAAGGAUUUUUACGAUGUAUUUAUUUGCUUACUUCUAUUAUAAUUAUUUUUAGUUAUUUAUGUAAAAAAGUGUCACCUUUUCCCGAAUUUAUAUAAC